UACGUAGUUGGCAAGCGUUGUCCGGAUUUAUUGGGCGUAAAGCGAGCGCAGGUGGUUUCUUAAGUCUGAUGUGAAAGCCCACGGCUCAACCGUGGAAGGUCAUUGGAAACUGGGGAACUUGAAUGCAGAAGAGGAGAGUGGAAUUCCAUGUGUAGCGGUGAAAUGCGUAGAUAUAUGGAGGAACACCAGUGGCGAAGGUGACUCUCUGGUCUGUUAUUGACACUGAGGCUCGAAAGCGUGUGGAGCAAACAGGAUUA
rnacentral:rRNA from 1 species